AGCUUUCUUAGUGGCCGGAUUUCCUAACCCUGCCUCAUCUUUCGAUUUAGCAGGCAAGGUUGGGGCUCAAAAACCUAGUAUUUUUCGAAGAAAAUCAAAAUGCAUGGCUUUAUAAAAAUAUUUAUUUUUUUAAAAAUAAAAACAAUUUUAAAAUUGUCAAAUAAAAACAAUUUAAUAAAUUGUCAAUUAUUUGGAGGAGGUCUGAGCCUCUUCUCCCUUCUUCUUUCCUUUCUCCUCCUUCUUUUUCUUUUCCUUCUCUCCUCUCGGGGUGUUAACAACCCCCGAGGUGCUUUGCAGCACCUCCACCUCCUCUUUUUCUUUCUUUCCGUUUGAAAGAACACCGGAGCUAGCUAACUGGUCCAAGGCAGUGCAAGAAAAGACCGCAAAAGGUCAACAAUUUAGCAGUUAUGCUGAAGAUCUCCGACGUUGGCAAUUGGUUCUGAAGAAAGCUCGGCCAUCAAAGGCGCCAGGUCCAGACGGGAUCCCUAAUCUUUUAUGGAAAAGGUUAAUUCCCGCAAACAGGGUGCUAUUUGACUGGUUGAUGGGAAUCAAAAAGCAUAAGCUUAAGUUCCCUAAAUGGCUCACUGAAGGAAGGGUGGUCCUCCUCCCAAAAAGAGGUGAUCUGAGCAGAGCAGACUCGUUUUUCGAAAUUGCAUAGCGGCGAAAUUGGUGAUCUGAGCAGAGCAGACUCGUUUUUCGAAAUUGCAUAGCGGCGAAAUUGCAUAGCGGUGAUCUGAGCAGAGCAGACUCGUUUUUCGAAAUUGCAUAGCGGCACAGGAAGGUGCGCUAAAUGCAGCUGAAUUGUUCCGAAAGGGACAAACUGAAGCAGAUGUUAAGUGCAGGAGAUGUCAUGCAGCGCGCGAAAGUGUGCAGCAUAUUCUCUCAGGAUGCCCGGUCUAUAGGACUGGGCUCAUGCUGGAACGCCACAAUAAUGUGGUGAAUCGGUUGCAUGCAACGUUCAGCCGAAGAUUCGGCUUGCAGCAAUUAGCGCAUAACCAGCCAGUCCCUGCGGUUAUGGAAAACGACUCAGCAAAGAUAUAUUAUGAUGUGCACCUGUUCACACGGAAUGUGAGAGCAACCCUACAAGGGGUUGAUAAGACGAUGAGAUACGAAGGUCUACGUCACGAUAGACCGGAUUUGGUUAUAUUUGAUAAAACCACGGGGAAAAUCCAUGUCGUAGAGGUAUGCGUGGCUUGGUAUGAAAACCUGGUAAAACAGGAUCAAAUCAAGUACCACAAGUAUGCCACGAAUUCUGAGAUUGAAGACGUGACAGUUCUAGCUGACCCGAUCACUAGAACACACGGAUACAAUAUUAGAGCACUGUUGGGGGAACUAUACGGAAAGGAAUUUAAAGCUGGAGUAUCAGUAACCCCAAUUGUGAUUGGAACUUGUGGUGAAGUAUUACCAAAUAUCGUUGAGCGGCUAGGGGAGUUGAACAUAAAGGGAAAGUCCGCCCUUGAACUCCUCGAUAAGAUGCAGCUUGGGGCCAUUCAUGGCUCAGACAGGCUAAUUCGAGCACACUUGUCGUUGUCUCGCUGAAAUGUGAACGCCUAACCGUGCAAACACGUUCAUGACUAAUAAGAUUUUCGACUCAUUGGCGUUGAUCGCCCGUGAGCAUUCUGAAUGCAACGGACGAAGUGUUAUUCGGGAAACACGAAGCUGGUUUUAAUGGAAGCAAUUCCAUCGACUGGCUGGGAACUGUGGAAAUGAGGGUUAAUCGUCCUAACUCUUUGAAACAGUCCCAAGCGUCCGGGUGGAAUACCUGGCGACGGGUAUUUCAUAACAAAACUCCGACGCGCACGAAUGGAUCAACGAGAUUCCCACUGUCCCUAUCUACUAUCUAGCGAAACCACAGCCAAGGGAACGGGCUUGGCAAAUUUAGCGGGGAAAGAAGACCCUGUUGAGCUUGACUCUAGUCUGACUUUGUGAAGAAUCAUGAGAGGUGUAGCAUAAGUGGGAGUCGUAAGACAACAGUGAAAUACCACUACUUUCAUCGAUUCCUUACUUAAUCGGUAAAACGGGAGUUGUGUCUACGGACCUUCAUUUUUGUUUUAAGACUAGCCACUCGGUGGUUGGUUGACUCGCGCCGAUGACAUUGUCAGGCGGGGAGUUUGACUGGGGCGGUACAUCUGUCAAAUUGUAACGCAGGUGUCCUAAGGCGAGCUCAGAGAGGACGGAAACCUCUCGUUGAGCAAAAAGGCAAAUGCUUACUUGAUCUUGAUUUUCAGUACGAAUACAGACCGCGAAAGCGUGGCUUAUCGAUCCUUUUGAGUUUGUAAAGUUUACAGCAAGAGGUGUCAGAAAAGUUACCACAGGGAUAACUGGCUUGUGGCGGCCAAGCGUCCAUAGCGACGUCGCUUUUUGAUCCUUCGAUGUCGGCUCUUCCUAUCAUUGCGAAGCAGAAUUCGCCAAGCGUUGGAUUGUUCACCCACCAAUAGGGAACGUGAGCUGGGUUUAGACCGUCGUGAGACAGGUUAGUUUUACCCUACUAAAUACUUGUUGCUAUGAUGGUAAUCCUGCUUAGUACGAGAGGAACCGCAGGUUCAGACAUUUGGUUCAUGUGCUUGGUCGAUAGGCCAAUGGCGCGAAGCUACCAUCUGAGGGAUUAUGACUGAACGCCUCUAAGUCAGAAUCCCGCCCAGUCAUGAUAGCAAUAUAUAUCGCUCUCCGGUGUCGGAAGGCAAAAUGUAUGCCACUUUUUGUGGUAGUACAAGCCCCAGUAUCUGGCAUUUUCUUUCUACUAUAAUUGGUAGUUGGUUGCUAAAAGCUUAGCACUCCACGUGCAGGUGUAACGUCGGGGCGCAAAAUCACUUGUAUACGACUUGAAUACUGGUCAGGGGGUUGUAAACAGUAGAGCAGCUCUUCGCUGCGAUCUGCUGAGACUUAGCCCUUGAUCGGAUGAUUU